AGCGAACGUUAGCGGCGGGCCUAACACAUGCAAGUCGAACGGGCAGUAGCAAUAUUGUCAGUGGCGCACGGGUGAGUAACGCGUAGGUAAUCUACCCUUUGGCGGGGGAUAACGUUCCGAAAGGGACGCUAAUACCGCAUAAGACCACGACCUCUUCGGGGGUUGGGGGAAAAGGUGGCCUCUUCUUGAAAGCCAUCACCGAAGGAUGAGCCUGCGUCCCAUCAGCUAGUUGGUAGGGUAAUGGCCUACCAAGGCGAAGACGGGUAGCUGGUCUGAGAGGAUGAUCAGCCACACUGGCACUGGAAACACGGGCCAGACUCCUACGGGAGGCAGCAGUGGGGAAUAUUGGGCAAUGGGCGCAAGCCUGACCCAGCCACGCCGCGUGAGCGAUGAAGGCC
rnacentral:rRNA from 1 species